rnacentral:rRNA from 1 species
UACGUAGGGGGCAAGCGUUGUCCGGAUUUAUUGGGCGUAAAGAGCGUGUAGGCGGCUGGGUAGGUCCGUUGUGAAAACUCGAGGCUCAACCUCGAGACGCCGAUGGAAACCCUCCAGCUAGAGUCCGGAAGAGGAGAGUGGAAUUCCUGGUGUAGCGGUGAAAUGCGCAGAUAUCAGGAAGAACACCCGUGGCGAAGGCGGCUCUCUAGUACGGUACUGAUGCUGAGACGCGAAAGCGUGGGGAGCGAACAGG